rnacentral:lncRNA from 1 species
UUGCAUUCUCUCACAGGUACAUUUCAAGCUCAAAGAAAAUCAGUGAAACUAACUACUCUAAUUGUUCUCUGCUUUCCAGUUUUGUUUCAUUAUUCACCAUUGAUAUUUUUUACUUCAGAUGCAAUCAAAAGAAUCAUGAUUCACGACUUAAAUAUUUUUUCUUAACUACUUGCUAACAUCAACAAUAUCUCUUAGAUGGUCAAUGUAGAUAUCAACUAAAUACAAGCUGCUAGUGAAAGUUAGUGUAUUUCAUUAAAAUUUGUGUGACACUCAUGUUUUAUAAAGCUGUUGGCUUAUCCAGAAUAUACUCAACCUUAGCAUUCAACCUUAGCAUUCAACGUUUGGAAAUUUUAACCAAUUCAAGAACAGACAUGAAUUCUGUAUGGUAAAGCAAAAUAGAUUUAUACACCAUUCACCAGUAAACACCAAGGCAACACAUGUAUAACCCGAAUGAAUCGCAGCACACAGAACGAAUAGAAUAAGGAAGAUGUGUCCGGAGCCAAGAAAAACAAAAACAAAACUGCAUCACAGGCUGGUUUCUCAUGAACCAGCUCAUAAACACUUCCAAUCUAACAAAGUCUCAACCAUCAUCACAUUUUUGAUCGAUACCAGAACAAAUUAAGAAGGAGUGAAGAUAUGAACCUGAAAUUAGAGCUUUCAAUUAACGAAACUUCAGUGAUUACAACAAUCUAAGCUGACUCGAACAAAGCUGCAACUCAAAACUUGAAACGAACAGCAACAAGAAACAGAAAUCGACGAACUUGAAGCAAAUCAAUACUGAAAUUUUAAAACCCAAACUCGACUCCAACUUAAACUUUAAUCAAGCUUCCUUUUGAGAACCAGAAAUCAAGAGAAAGAAUAAAUGCUAAGAAAUCUGUUUUAGUGAUUUUAUUUUUGAAAUUUUCUCUUGAAAUGAAAUAAACUUAGACCAUUUGUGCUUUUUUGGGUGUUUUCUGAAGAGAAGCAGACUGAAAAGAAACGGCCUGAAAAAAGUGACAACUUCAAGAACCCUAGAAAAUUUUACUCUCCUCAAAUUUCAAAAAUUUUUCUUAGAUCUUUCUCUGAUUUUUUCUCCUACCCCUUAAACAAGAAAACUCACCUUAUAUAUAACCCUCAAAAAUCUCGAAGCUUCUGCCCAAAAAUUCGAAAAAAUCCCCUCAUUUUUGAACGAUUUUAGGGACAAAUAGAAAGCAUGGAUCGAUUUACAUCCAUCCACAGCUCCCAUUCAUCCAGCAAAUCGCUCUAUAGUACACAAAUCGUGCAAAUUCGGGAAUAUUCUUCCUUCUCUGACAGAAAAUCAUUGGAAUAAAGUAACGUGGAGAGGAGGGGGACCCAUUUGAGUGAACUCGCCUGAGUUUUAGACGAGUUGAGGACUGAGUUUGACGAGGAAAAUGAUGAAUAGUACAGUGGGGCGCCGUUUCUGUAUCUAGGUUUAGGGUUU